UACGUAGGGGGCAAGCGUUGUCCGGAUUCAUUGGGCGUAAAGAGCUCGUAGGCGGCUUGGCAAGUCGGGUGUGAAACCUCCAGGCUCAACCUGGAGACGCCACCCGAUACUGCCAUGGCUAGAGUCCGGUAGGGGACCACGGAAUUCCUGGUGUAGCGGUGAAAUGCGCAGAUAUCAGGAGGAACACCAAUGGCGAAGGCAGCUCUCUGGGACGGUACUGACGCUGAGACGCGAAAGCGUGGGGAGCGAACAGG
rnacentral:rRNA from 1 species